GACGAACGCGGCGGCGUGCCUAAUACAUGCAAGUAGAACGCUGAAGGAGGAGCUUGCUUCUCUGGAUGAGUUGCGAACGGGUGAGUAACGCGUAGGUAACCUGCCUGGUAGCGGGGGAUAACUAUUGGAAACGAUAGCUAAUACCGCAUAAAAUUGAUUGUUGCAUGAUAGUCAAUUAAAAGGUGCAAUUGCAUCACUACCAAAUGGACCUGCGUUGUAUUAGCUAGUUGGUGGGGUAACGGCUCACCAAGGCAACGAUACAUAGCCGACCUGAGAGGGUGAUCGGCCACACUGGGACUGAGACACGGCCCAGACUCCUACGGGAGGCAGCAGUAGGGAAUCUUCGGCAAUGGACGGAAGUCUGACCGAGCAACGCCGCGUGAGUGAAGAAGGUUUUCGGAUCGUAAAGCUCUGUUGUAAGAGAAGAACGAGUGUGAGAGUGGAAAGUUCACACUGUGACGUAUCUACCAGAAA
rnacentral:rRNA from 1 species